AGAGUUUGAUCCUGGCUCAGGACGAACGCUGGCGGCGUGCUUAACACAUGCAAGUCGAACGGAAAGGCCCUUCGGGGUACUCGAGUGGCGAACGGGUGAGUAACACGUGGGUGAUCUGCCCUGCACUUUGGGAUAAGCCUGGGAAACUGGGUCUAAUACCGAAUAUGACCAUGCACUUCCUGGUGUGUGGUGGAAAGCUUUUGCGGUGUGGGAUGGGCCCGCGGCCUAUCAGCUUGUUGGUUGGGUAAUGGCCUACCAAGGCGACGACGGGUAGCCGGCCUGAGAGGGUGACCGGCCACACUGGGACUGAGAUACGGCCCAGACUCCUACGGGAGGCAGCAGUGGGGAAUAUUGCACAAUGGGCGCAAGCCUGAUGCAGCGACGCCGCGUGAGGGAUGACGGCCUUCGGGUUGUAAACCUCUUUCAGCACAGACGAAGCGCAAGUGACGGUAUGUGCAGAAGAAGGACCGGCCAACUACGUGCCAGCAGCCGCGGUAAUACGUAGGGUCCGAGCGUUGUCCGGAAUUACUGGGCGUAAAGAGCUCGUAGGUGGUUUGUCGCGUUGUUCGUGAAAACUCACAGCUUAACUGUGGGCGUGCGGGCGAUACGGGCAGACUUGAGUACUGCAGGGGAGACUGGAAUUCCUGGUGUAGCGGUGGAAUGCGCAGAUAUCAGGAGGAACACCGGUGGCGAAGGCGGGUCUCUGGGCAGUAACUGACGCUGAGGAGCGAAAGCGUGGGGAGCGAACAGGAUUAGAUACCCUGGUAGUCC
rnacentral:rRNA from 1 species